GGUUUCAUGGCGCAACGGAAGCGCGCCGGGCUCAUGGUCCGGAGGUUCUCUGAUCGAAACGGAGUGAAACCG
rnacentral:tRNA from 1 species